rnacentral:piRNA from 1 species
UGAGAACUUAGGCAAUGUCUGGGUUUC